AGAUCUGGAGGAAUACCGGUGGCGAAGGCGGCCCCCUGGACAAAGACUGACGCUCAGGUGCGAAAGCGUGGGGAGCAAACAGGAUUAGAUACCCUGGUAGUCCACGCCGUAAACGAUGUCUACUUGGAGGUUGUGCCCUUGAGGCGUGGCUUCCGGAGCUAACGCGUUAAGUAGACCGCCUGGGGAGUACGGCCGCAAGGUUAAAACUCAAAUGAAUUGACGGGGGCCCGCACAAGCGGUGGAGCAUGUGGUUUAAUUCGAUGCAACGCGAAGAACCUUACCUGGUCUUGACAUCCACAGAACUUUCCAGAGAUGGAUUGGUGCCUUCGGGAACUGUGAGACAGGUGCUGCAUGGCUGUCGUCAGCUCGUGUUGUGAAAUGUUGGGUUAAGUCCCGCAACGAGCGCAAC
rnacentral:rRNA from 1 species